GAAGGGGAGGACCUGCACGAGCGCGCAUCCCCCUGCUCCCCGCACGGUCUGUUUUGCACCGGUAUUCAAGAGCCAUUCGCCCGCAUCCACGUGCGCGCUAAAGCGCUCGCUGCUGCGAGAAGGCGGACCGGGUGGCCGCUUCACUGCCUUGAAAAGGUGUGUCCGCUCCUCGGGCGUGAGAUGGUUCUUCUCGUUCCCUCGUUCUCCAGUGCCGCUUGUUUACGUGUCUUGUUCCUUUUGUGUGGCGAGGAGGUCGUUGCUCCCUCUGGAUCAUCGCGUCGGCGGUUCUUUCCACUUUUUUGCUUACGUUUCCAUCCCUUAGACUCAACUGUGCGGUGUGCCUUCCACACAUUCAUAUACACCUGUACCUCUCUGCCUCUUAGAGCUGCUUUCUUCUUUGUUUUACUCUCUGUCUCUGGUGGUGUUUGUACGUCUGCGCGCACUCAUACGUCAUCACGCUCAUCCGCCCUUCCCCUCCCCUCCUUCAGGGUUUUUGCCGUUGUUGACGGGAGAGUCUCGUUUCGCCGCCAUCCCGUCCCAUCCCCUCCCGCCCGGCCCCCAUUACCAGCAGAGACCUCUUCUGUAAACUAGAGCCCCCCCCCCUCUCCCACAAACACUCACACCUACGGCCCUGCACGCGGCUUACUGCGUGACCGCGUUGAUGGAAAACCGCAAGCUGAAGCGCUAUGAUUCAGCCCCGCUGCCAAGUGGCUCCUCCUCGGCGGCCAAGGCGGCAGCGGCGCAAGCUUCGAAUAUUCCUCGUCCUCACGCGGCGCAGCUCGGAUCCCCGUGUACACCACCCAGUGCACCACAGCCAAGCCAUGCCGCUGCGUCUGCGCCAGAGCGGUCCGCGUCGUACGAGAAGCAACUCGAGCACUACUACAAGUGCAUGGAAGAGGACAAUGAGACCCUCGUGAAGUUCUACGAGGCGCACACCUCCGACAUUGCGGCGCUACGGGUCUUGACGCAGGAGCGCAAGUACAAGGACAUCGUCUUCGCAGCCAUGGAAGCAAAGACGGCUUCGACGGACGCCUUCUUGAAGGAACUCAUAGACCUCACCGGCACUGGCCGCGGCUUACGCGUCCGCAGGGACGCGAAUAGUGUGAAAUGUUCUGCGGCAAAGUCGUCAGCUGCGCUGACGUCAGCGCCUGUCGUCACGAUGGAUGAGGUGCGCGACGCUGUGCAGAGGCAGCGGCACGCUCUCGAGGCGGCGCGGCGGAACGAAGAGAAGCAGACGCUGGUGAUCCGGGCAUUAGAGGAAGAAGUUGCGUCGUUGAAGCUCAAGGGCAGGUCCACCUCGGCGCGCUCGCUGGCGCAGAAGCGCGGGUCGACGAAACCGGAUGACGUCACCGCCGACGAGGACUGCUGUCUGCCUGGCACGGCGAAGGAGCUGCGUGAUGCGCAGCGCAGGAUUCGCGGGCUGGAGCGUCAGCUAAGCAGCGCCAUGUGUGAUGCCAAGGAUGCUGCGGCUGCCGUGGCAAGCCUGCAGCAGCAGUGCACGGUUCACCUGCAGUCGCUGCAGUGCCGCGACGGCGAACUCACCGCAAUGCGGAGCGUUCUGGACUCCAAGGAACAGCUGAUCACGGCGCUCGAAGAAGAGGUUCGCAAGCAACGGAGUGCCGCAGAGGCGCAGCAGAAGCAACAGCAGCGCACAUCGCAGCCCGGCGCCCCCUACGCUCGCACCAACUCCGCGCCCGCCGCAACUCACCACAACCGCAGCGGUGACGAGGCGAGCAGUGACCGCCUUAUCGUGACUCACCACUACCGCCUGUUCGGCGGGCAGACCUUCGUGGACGGCAACAGCUUCUCGCCGAAAUCCUUCAAGGACGCCUUCCUGCGCUCCGUCUCCACGCUGCUGCAAGUUCCAUAUGGCUACCUCACGAGUGUCGAGGUGCGCACCCACUCUGAGGCGGUCAGCGUGGAGUUCGACGUCCGCCACUCAGCGCGCAUCAAAGAAGACGAGAUCGACUUCUUCCUGCUCAGCCACGACUACCCGGAGCUGACUAGGUUUCUGGACAAGGCGAAGGCCGAGCUGGCGACUCGAAAGCCACUCGACCGCAACGCCGUGCGUGUGAAGGAGCUGGAGGCGGCACUGGCGGAGAGGGCGGACGAGGUGGACCACCUGCGCCGCACCAUCCGCUCUCUCGAAGCCUCGCUCGACCGCCGCGACUCCGACCGCGCGGUGCUGGACACAGAUGUGGACGCUGCACUGCGCGAGACCGAAAUGACUGUGAAGGAGGUGUACGAGGCGCUGCAGGCGACGAAGCAGGAGGCGCAGGGGUUGCAGAAGGCGCUCACCACGCAGUCCGCGCAGCUGCGCCUGUCGGAGCGGGCGAAGGCGGCCGCGACGGCCGCAGCGGAGAAGCUCAAGACGGAGCUGGCGACCCUUCAGGACCAGCUCGCCACAGCGCAAGCAUCCGUCGAGCAGGCGCGGGAAGAAGCAGCGCAGAAGGCACUGCAGCGCCACACGGAUGAGAAGGCGGAGCUGCUGAUGAGUACUUUCCGCCUCGACGUGGCGCUGCCCACUGCCUUGGCACAGCGCACUGCGAAUCGCUUGCUGGAAGAAGCGCAGCAGGCUCGCGUGCUGCAAGCGCUACUUCUCUGCCAUGCCGCACGGACUGCCGGGGCCGUGCCGGUGGCGGUCAAGAAGUGCUCGUUAGGCGACGGCGCGACGACGAUGGCGGCCGCCGUGGCGCUGGCCUUCUACGCGAGCAAAAAGAACGCCGAAGCUGUCGAGGCGGAGAUCGCCAAGAAGCUUAGCGAAGACUCCGGCAGCGCGGUUCUCGAAUAUUUGCGAAUGUGCAGCGAUUCAUGCAAGCAGGAGGCCGCGAUCUUGGCGGACGCGCAGCGAGCCGUCAGCGAGGCAGAGCAGCGCGCUGCAGCCGCCAUCGCCGCCAUGCAAGGCGAGACGCAGCAGGCGCAGAACACGCAGCGUGCUGUAACGGCAAGGCAGCUGCAGGAGAUUCACGCGCGAUUGAGCAGCGUGCUGCCGGGCGGCUCUGCGGAAGCAAAAAGCGUCUUAGAACGCAUUGAGCAGCUCGUGUCGCGCCUGACCGAGGCUGAGUCGACGGCGCGCUGCCUCGAGGAGGAGAGCCGCCGUGCAACACAGCGCUUGGCGGAGGCGCAGCAGGAGCGCGAACAGUUGCAGCAGACGCUGAGUGACCUGACGGCACGCUGCACUGAGAUGCAAGUCGCCAAGGAGCAGCUCGCCGUACGUGCGGCCAGAGCAGAAAGCCAGCUUCGCAAUCAGCAGCUGAGCGCAGGGGAGUCGGAAGGCGUUCUAGUCAAAAAGGUGAAGCUCCUCGAGGAGGCCCUGCGCGCAAAGACAGCAGCCGCAGACUCCGAGAAAGAUCGCAUGUUGGAGGAGCACAGGGCGGCGGCGACACUGGCGGAGGGUCAGCUGGCGGAGGUCGAGGAGGCGCUGGCCAUCAAGGAGGCGGCACUAGCGCAGCUGCAGUCGAAGACCGCGUCUCCUGGCUCCGGUGCUGCAGCCAGUGCGUCGACCGAGGAGGCCGCGCUGCGUGAGGCGCUGCGGCUCGCAAAGCAAGAGCGCGCAGCUCUGGCGCGCCAGGUGAGGGAGAUGGACACGGACAUGAACGACUUGUCGAACAUCCAAGCCUCCAUGCAGCGCGAGCUUGAAGUGGCGCAGCAGGAGCUGCGAGCCAAGAAACACGACUUCGAUCUUCUGGUGAAGCAGCUGAUCCGGAUGGAGGAAAGGGAGAAGAAGUGGGCCUCCGAACAUUCCGCCUCACCGAAGAAGCAAGACGAAGACGCCGAGCUUGACGACGUGGCCCGGGAGUCCCUCGUCGUCUUGACAAACAGCAACGCGACCCUCCAGCAGUGCCUGCACCGCCUGCACUCCGCCCUCACCUCCAUGGGAAUGGAGGUGAGCCUCGCGUCGAGCAACGCCGCUGAUAGCGCGGGUACCGUGGCGGGGGCGGCACACGGACGUGGCGGCGAAAGGGACAGCGGCAGAGUCGGUGAUGAGAUCACUGGAGUGCGACGCAGCGGGCAUCGCAAGAGCGCCCUCGGAGCCACAGUCUCACGCGCCGCCAUCGAUCACCAGAAGUUGUCGGCGCAAGUAGCAGACUUGCUGCUGCCGGUGCUAGAGGUGCUGAAGAUCUCCGCGUCGUCGAGGACCGCGAGCGGCGGCUGUCGCCCUCGCGGGGCCGCCGCUGCAGCGGCGACGGCGCCAGCUGACGCAGCAACGACGCACUUGGCAGUAGCCACGCAGAGGCGAAUUGUGAAGCAUUCACCGAGCAGUGCGCCGUUAUUUCGCACGGCGUCCACCCCGGCGGCGAUCGGAGCUGAAAACAUUGGCCAUCCCUUCAAUGGUAGCUUCACCAUUGUGCGGGACGCCGCCAUCGCCUCGAACGGCAACACACCGAAGCGAGGCACGGCAAGCGAUGCGGCAGUGAGCGCGGCGGUCACCGGAUCAGGUGGAAAGGCGUCCAUGGUAGACGAGGCGCCGCGCCUGGACUUCCACCGACAGGCGAGCCUGCGCACCUACAUCCGUAGCAACACGGCCACCUCAGCGCCCAUGAACGCCGGUGGUACUGCAUUGCCGCCAGCUUCUGCAGCUGCCGCUGCCGCUGCUACGACCGACAGCUCUGCAUCGUCCGGCGCUGGCGUCAACAGCAGCGGAGCCGCCACUCGAGUCAGCGGAGAUGAGCGAAAAGAGGAGAAGGGCAAGGAACGCCUGCCACGCGGUGCGAGCGGCGGCGGGGGAGCAGCAGCUGCGGGUGGCGCCUCCGACAACGCAUCGCUGGCGAGCGCGCAGGUCAGUACGCGCCGCAAUGCGGCACCGACGGCCAUCGCUAAGGCGAACCUGCUGCGCCGCAUGAACACUACUGCCACUUCCACUACCAGCGGUGGGCGGGGCAGUGGCUCAGCUAUGGGGACCAGCCUUGGGCGCACAGCAUGUGGCUAUCGCCGUGUGCCGACGGUGACAGACUCGAGUGGAUCCUCCGCGUCUCUGACGAGGCGAGCCCGUCCCACGCACAUGUGACACGAAUGCGCAGCGUGUUCAAAGUCGUUUUGAAGCAGAGAGCGAAACGCCGUGGUUAGAUUCUGUGAGCAUCCUCUACCUCUCUCUCUCCAGCCCCCCCCCACCCUACUCUUCACCACCACCAUCGUCUCACCCCUCAGGGGAUCUUGCAUGUGGGUAAGAUUGUGUGUGUCUGCCUCUCUGUCUGUGCUCAGCCUGUGCCAACUCGCCGGUCUCCCCUGCUCUCUUCUUUUGUCGUCUGACGUGGAUACUUUCUUCGUAGAUCUCGCAUCG
rnacentral:misc_RNA from 1 species